rnacentral:misc_RNA from 1 species
GCAAAAUUUCUUUUGGGGUUUUUGAAGUGAUGAAAGAUUGUGUUUUUAUUUGGUUUGUUUAGGGUUGGUUGUGUUUUAGCUUGAGUGUUGGGAACAGGGGAGGGAAGGAACAGUUUCUUGAAUCUGGAAAUGAACUAAUUUUUCCUGUUAAUUUGUCUUUCCAUGAAAAUUUUGAAAUGCUUCUGUAUUUUUGCUCUUAAAAAACCCUGCUUUAUACUGAAAACUUUGAUGUUCUCAACAUGUUUGUUUUUUUGUAAAAUUAUUUUUGUGUGUUCU